rnacentral:rRNA from 1 species
GGAGCUAAUACCGGAUAAUAUAUUGAACCGCAUGGUUCAAUAGUGAAAGACGGUUUUGCUGUCACUUAUAGAUGGAUCCGCGCCGCAUUAGCUAGUUGGUAAGGUAACGGCUUACCAAGGCAACGAUGCGUAGCCGACCUGAGAGGGUGAUCGGCCACACUGGAACUGAGACACGGUCCAG